CCUACGGGGGGCAGCAGUGGGGAAUAUUGCACAAUGGGCGCAAGCCUGAUGCAGCCAUGCCGCGUGUGUGAAGAAGGCCUUCGGGUUGUAAAGCACUUUCAGCGGGGAGGAAGGCGGUGAGGUUAAUAACCUCAUCGAUUGACGUUACCCGCAGAAGAAGCACCGGCUAACUCCGUGCCAGCAGCCGCGGUAAUACGGAGGGUGCAAGCGUUAAUCGGAAUUACUGGGCGUAAAGCGCACGCAGGCGGUCUGUCAAGUCGGAUGUGAAAUCCCCGGGCUCAACCUGGGAACUGCAUUCGAAACUGGCAGGCUAGAGUCUUGUAGAGGGGGGUAGAAUUCCAGGUGUAGCGGUGAAAUGCGUAGAGAUCUGGAGGAAUACCGGUGGCGAAGGCGGCCCCCUGGACAGAGACUGACGCUCAGGCGCGAAAGCGUGGGGAGCAAACAGGAUUAGAUACCCUUGUAGUC
rnacentral:rRNA from 1 species